rnacentral:rRNA from 1 species
AUUGAACGCUGGUGGCAGGCUUAACACAUGCAAGUCGAGCGGUAACAGAGAGAAGCUUGCUUCUCUGCUGACGAGCGGCGGACGGGUGAGUAAUGCCUAGGAAUCUGCCUAGUAGUGGGGGAUAACUUGCCGAAAGGUAAGCUAAUACCGCAUACGUCCUACGGGAGAAAGGAGGGGACCUUCGGGCCUUUCGCUAUUAGAUGAGCCUGGGUCGGAUUAGUUAGUUGGUGAGGUAAUGGCUCACCAAGACCGCGAUCCGUAACUGGUCUGAGAGGAUGAUCAGUAACACUGGAACUGAGACACGGUCCAGACUCCUACGUGAGGCAGCAGUGGGGAAUAUUGGACAAUGGGGGGAACCCUGAUUCAGCCAUGCCGCGUGUGUGAAGAAGGUCUUAGGAUUGUAAGGCACUUUAAGUUGGGAGGAAGAGCAGUUAACUAAUAUUUGACUGUUUUGACGUUACCGACAGAAUAAGCACCGGCUAACUUCGUGCCAUCCGCCGCCGUAA